GAAAUUCGCUUUACCGAUGAGGGCCCUCUGGGUCCAACCUCCCACCCGUGUUUAUCGUACCUUGUUGCUUCGGCGGGCCCGCCUCACGGCCGCCGGGGGGCUUCUGCCCUCUGGCCCGCGCCCGCCGCUUCGGCGGGCCCGCCUCACGGCCGCCGGGGGGCUUCUGCCCUCUGGCCCGCGCCCGCCGAAGACACCAUUGAACGCUGUCUGAAGAUUGCAGUCUGAGCAAUUAGCUAAAUAAGUUAAAACUUUCAACAACGGAUCUCUUGGUUCCGGCAUCGAUGAAGAACGCAGCGAAAUGCGAUACGUAAUGUGAAUUGCAGAAUUCAGUGAAUCAUCGAGUCUUUGAACGCACAUUGCGCCCCUUGGUAUUCCGGGGGGCAUGCCUGUCCGAGCGUCAUUGCUGCCCUCAAGCACGGCUUGUGUGUUGGGCUCCGUCCUCCUUCCCGGGGGACGGGCCCGAAAGGCAGCGGCGGCACCGCGUCCGGUCCUCGAGCGUAUGGGGCUUCGUCUUCCGCUCUUGUAGGCCCGGCCGGCGCUUGCCGACAACAAUCAAUCUUUUUUCAGGUUGACCUCG
rnacentral:rRNA from 1 species